GGGAAGGUGGCUCAGUGGUAGAGUGCUUGUCUUGCAUGCAUGAGGUCCUGGGUUCAAUUCCACAAUACCA
rnacentral:tRNA from 1 species